ensembl:ncRNA lncRNA:CR44318 long non-coding RNA:CR44318
CAAACGUUUAUUUCUAUUGAUACCAUUGGCUGGUAAAAAAGUCUGAUAACAAGUUUGGUUCGCGUUAGAACCCAUAAUUCGUCAGGCAGAAAACUUGUUAAAAUGGUGAAUCUUGACUUAGAAAUGAUUUUGGAGACUCUCCUGAACGCGGCGAGGAGGAAAAGGGAAAGGGAACACCUUGAAGGUUCUUCGGAAGUAUAAAACACUAAACGAUUACCUACCUAUCAUAUCAAUUGUAUUUGAAAUGUAGGAGUUAUCUACUGGAUGUAUGAGAAAAUUGCGGAUUUGACCUUGAGGGUCCUGGCAGAAUUGGUUGACUUUGUGAAGGCAGCUAUUAUAAAAAUAGUUGGUGUCGCUACAAAUGCUGUGGAGUGUUUCAAGCGUGAUUUUACAGUGCAAUGUGCCGCAUUGGAAGCCUUUGUGGUAUUUUUAACCAGUAAUUUGGGAUUUCAACUGGAAAUGUAA